rnacentral:misc_RNA from 1 species
AACGCACAUUGCGCCCUUUGGCAUUCCGAAGGGCAUGCCUGUUCGAGCGUCAUUAUCACCCCUCAAGCCCCUGGGCUUGGUGUUGGACGGUCUCGGUGAGACCUGCAGUGUCUCACCCCUCCUAAAGACAAUGACGGCGGCUUCGUUGGACCCCCGGUACACUGAGCUUCUUUACUGAGCACGUACUGGAUGCGGGUGCGCGGGGCACGGUCUGCCUCCCCUUAGGGAGAACUUUUUCGUAACAAGGUUGACCUCGGAUCAGGUAGGAAUACCCGCUGAACUUAA